GUGAAUGACAAACAGGGGAACGAAAUACAAGUUGCUGCCCAUUACAACAAAGAUGCAUCCUCUGAUUCUGAAUUAUUUCCCAACCAUGUCUUCUGAAUUUAAGAGAAGUAACUUUUAAAGUUCAGGCAUGCCCUUCCCUGUUUUAGCAUCAUAAGUUUUCUCCAACACCACAUCCAUUGGAGUAUCCUUGGGACCAGCAACUG
rnacentral:misc_RNA from 1 species